rnacentral:rRNA from 1 species
GACGAACGCUGGCGGCGUGCUUAACACAUGCAAGUCGAACGGAAAGGCCCUGCUUUUGUGGGGUGCUCGAGUGGCGAACGGGUGAGUAACACGUGAGUAACCUGCCCUUGACUUUGAGAUAACUUCAGGAAACUGGGGCUAAUACCGGAUAGGAGCUCCUGCUGCAUGGUGGGGGUUGGAAAGUUUCGGCGGUUGGGGAUGGACUCGCGGCUUAUCAGUUUGUUGGUGGGGUAGUGGCUUACCAAGGCUUUGACGGGUAGCCGGCCUGAGAGGGUGACCGGCCACAUUGGGACUGAGAUACGGCCCAGACUCCUACGGGAGGCAGCAGUGGGGAAUAUUGCACAAUGGGCGGAAGCCUGAUGCAGCAACGCCGCGUGCGGGAUGACGGCCUUCGGGUUGUAAACCGCUUUCGCCUGCGACGAAGCGUGAGUGACGGUAAUGGGUAAAGAAGCACCGGCUAACUACGUG